rnacentral:rRNA from 1 species
GGGGUAACGGCCCACCGUGCCAAUAAUCGGUACGGGUCAUGAGAGUGAGAACCCGGAGACGGAAUCUGAGACAAGAUUCCGGGCCCUACGGGGCGCAGCAGGCGCGAAACCUUUACACUGCACGACAGUGCGAUAAGGGAAUCCCAAGUGCACAGGCAUAGAGCCUGUGCUUUUGUGCACCCUAGGGCGGUGUACGAAUAAGGGCUGGGCAAGACCGGUGCCAGCCGCCGCGGUAAUACCGGCAGCCCAAGUGAUGGCCGAUCUUAUUGGGCCUAAAGCGUCCGUAGCUGGCCGCACAAGUCCAUCGGGAAAUCCACCUGCCCAACAGGUGGACGCCCGGUGGAAACUGUGUGGCUUGGGACCGGAAGGCGCGACGGGUACGUCCGGGGUAGGAGUGAAAUCCCGUAAUCCUGGACGGACCGCCGAUGGCGAAAGCACGUCGCGAAAACGGAUCCGACAGUGAGGGACGAAAGCCAGGGUCUCGAACCGGAUUAGAUACCCGGGUAGUCCUGGCCGUAAACAAUGUCUGUUAGGUGUGGCUCCCACUACGAGUGGGUGCUGUGCCGUAGGGAAGCCGCUAAACAGACCGCCUGGGAAGUACGUCCGCAAGGAUGAAACUUAAAGGAAUUGGCGGGGGAGCACUACAACCGGAGGAGCCUGCGGUUUAAUUGGACUCAACGCCGGACAUCUCACCAGCAUCGACUGUAAUAAUGACGACCAGGUUGAUGACCUUGUCCGAGUUUCAGAGAGGAGGUGCAUGGCCGCCGUCAGCUCGUACCGUGAGGCGUCCUGUUAAGUCAGGCAACGAGCGAGACCCGCAUCCCUACUUGCCAGCAGUACUUCACAGUAGCUGGGGACAGUACGGAGACCGCCGUGGCCAACACGGAGGAAGGAACGGGCAACGGUAGGUCAGUAUGCCCCGAAUGUGCUGGGCAACACGCGGGCUACAAUGGUCGAGACAAAGGGUUCCAACUCCGAAAGGAGACGGUAAUCUCAGAAACUCGAUCGUAGUUCGGAUUGUGGGCUGCAACUCGCCCACAUGAAGCUGGAU